rnacentral:rRNA from 1 species
UGCAGUCGGACGGGAUCCGUCGGAGAGCUUGCUCGAAGACGGUGAGAGUGGCGCACGGGUGCGUAACGCGUGAGCAACCUACCUCUAUCAGGGGGAUAGCCUCUCGAAAGAGAGAUUAACACCGCAUAACAUAUCUGACCGGCAUCGGUUGGAUAUUAAAUAUUUAUAGGAUAGAGAUGGGCUCGCGUGACAUUAGCUAGUUGGUAGGGUAACGGCUUACCAAGGCGACGAUGUCUAGGGGCUCUGAGAGGAGAAUCCCCCACACUGGUACUGAGACACGGACCAGACUCCUACGGGAGGCAGCAGUAAGGAAUAUUGGUCAAUGGGCGGAAGCCUGAACCAGCCAUGCCGCGUGCAGGAUGACUGCCCUAUGGGUUGUAAACUGCUUUUGUCCAGGAAUAAACCUUUCUACGUGUAGGGAGCUGAAUGUACUGGAAGAAUAAGGAUCGGCUAACUCCGUGCCAGCAGCCGCGGUAAUACGGAGGAUCCGAGCGUUAUCCGGAUUUAUUGGGUUUA